GGCUCAGGAUAAACGCGGCGGGCGUGCCUAAAACAUGUAAGUCGAACGAAGGGUUUGUAGCAAUACGGACCCUUAGUGGCGAAUGGGUGAGUAACGCGUUGGUGACCUGCCCCGAAGAGGGGGAUAACAGUUCGAAAGGACUGCUAAUACCCCAUGUGGUCAAACGGAUUUAGAAACCGUUGUCUAAAGGAGUAAUCCGCUUCGGGAGGGGCCUGCGUCCCAUCAGCUAGUUGGUAGGGUAAUGGCCUACCAAGGCUACGACGGGUAGGGGGCCUGAGAGGGUGGCCCCCCACAUUGGCACUGAAACACGGGCCAAACACCUACGGGUGGCAGCAGUUGGGAAUAUUGCACAAUGGGCGAAAGCCUGAUGCAGCAACGCCGCGUGCGCGAUGAAGGCCUUCGGGUCGUAAAGCGCUUUUUGAGGAGAUGAGGAAGGACAGUAUCCUCAGAAUAAGGAUCGGCUAACUACGUGCCAGCAGCCGCGGUAACACGUAGGAUCCGAGCGUUAUCCGAAUUUACUGGGCGUAAAGCGCGUGCAGGCGGUUUGGUAAGUUGGAUGUGAAAGCUCCUGGCUCAACUGGGAGAGGCCGUUCAAAACUACCAGACUAGAGGGUGGCAGAGGGAGGUGGAAUUUCCGGUGUAGUAGUGAAAUGCGUAGAUAUCGGAAGGAACACCAGUGGCGAAGGCGGCCUCCUAGACCACUCUUGACGAUAAGACGCGAAAGCUAGGGGUGCGAACGGGAUUAGAAACCCCGGUAGUCCUAGCCGUAAACGAUGUAGACUUGGUGUCGGUGGGGUAAAAGCCAUCGGCGCCGAAGCCAACGCGAUAAGUCUA
rnacentral:rRNA from 1 species